rnacentral:tRNA from 1 species
GAGGGUAUAGCUCAGUGGUAGAGUGCCUGCCUAGCAUGCAUGAAGUCCUAGGUUCAAUCCCCAGUACCCCCA